UUUGAGAGUCUAUGGAUGCUGUACUGGGCCGUCAUGGUGAAGGAGGAGCUGAGCUAGAAGGCGAGACUCAAUUUUUCAGUCGAUUUAGGCUCCGAUCUUCA